UUAUGAGAGUUUGAUCCUGGCUCAGGACGAACGCUGGCGGCGUGCCUAAUACAUGCAAGUCGAACGCUUUUUCUUUCACCGGAGCUUGCUCCACCGAAAGAAAAAGAGUGGCGAACGGGUGAGUAACACGUGGGUAACCUGCCCAUCAGAAGGGGAUAACACUUGGAAACAGGUGCUAAUACCGUAUAACACUAUUUUCCGCAUGGAAGAAAGUUGAAAGGCGCUUUUGCGUCACUGAUGGAUGGACCCGCGGUGCAUUAGCUAGUUGGUGAGGUAACG
rnacentral:rRNA from 1 species